rnacentral:rRNA from 1 species
UACGUAGGCAGCAAGCGUUGUUCGGAGUUACUGGGCGUAAAGGGUGUGUAGGCGGUUCUUUAAGUUUGGUGUGAAAUCUCCCGGCUCAACUGGGAGGGUGCGCCGAAUACUGAGGGACUAGAGUACGGGAGAGGAAACUGGAAUUCCUGGUGUAGCGGUGAAAUGCGUAGAUAUCAGGAGGAACACCGGUGGUGUAGACGGCUUUCUGGACCGACACUGACGCUGAGACACGAAAGCGUGGGUAGCAAACAGG